GCGGGAUUAUGCCUUCAAUGGAAGGAAAGUCAUCUUCUUCCUCGCUACUCUCCAUUACUGUUCCUUCUUCUUGCUCUUCUGUG